rnacentral:rRNA from 1 species
ACGGAGGGUGCAAGCGUUAUCCGGAUUCACUGGGUUUAAAGGGAGCGUAGGUGGGAUGGUAAGUCAGUGGUGAAAUCUCCGGGCUCAACUCGGAAACUGCCGUUGAUACUAUCUAUCUUGAAUACCGUGGAGGUGAGUGGAAUAUGUCAUGUAGCGGUGAAAUGCUUAGAUAUGACAUAGAACACCGAUUGCGAAGGCAGCUCACUACACGAAUAUUGACUCUGAGGCACGAAAGCGUGGGGAUCAAACAGGA